GUGUGUGAAGUGCAACGCAUAUUUUUUGCUUUUUUUUGUUUUUCUUUUUUUUUUCUUCUUUUUGUUCGAAGUUCGGUGAAAAAUAAAAUGUUUCUUUUUUCUUUUCUUUUUUUUUUUUUUUUUUUUUUUUUUUUAAUCUUAUAUUCGAUAUAAUACGAUAGGUAGUACCUAUAUAUUUCUCGAAGCUUAAGCAUGCUCGUUUCGAAGAAUUCGACACCACGUGGAGCGCCUACGUCAGGCAUAUAAUUCACGUCACCCCUGUCCCCGUACGUAGGGUAUCGCUUUAUUCAACAUUUCCGGUUGUUUUCGGGAACGUUGCUUCCGUGACGUUAGAUCCAUAACUUUAAUUUCUAACAGGCGUUGAUAGAGAAAUAGAGGGACAGACAGGCAGAUGGAUAGAUAGACAGAUAGAGAUAGAUAGAGAGAUAGAUAGAUAGAUAGACAUAUAUAUAUAUAUAUAUAUAUAUAUAUAGAGAGAGAGAGAGAGAAAACACAUCCAGUACUUUCUCUGAUACGAAAAUUGCUUAUUCGAAUAAAAUAUUCAAUCUUAAAUUUCAUUCAAAUUCUUAAAGUCUAUAAAAAUGGAAAUCUAACGAAAGAAUAAUCUCUAAUAUCGUUGAGAAUCCAAUUAAUAAAUAUGCAAAUUACAUUUAAUUAAUUUUCAAACUUGUUAAUCUUAAUAACAUGCCGUAACAAUCGGAGGAAAGCGAGUUCUAAAUGAAUAAACGGAGUUAUCGCUAUCCCGCAAGGUUCUUUUUGUAUUCCUUAAUUGCUGUCACUCUUCGUUGCAUGGAUAACGUUAAUUCAAUUCACAAUUAACAAUGCUGUAUACCCUCCCCUCCGCCCCUCUCUCUUUCUCUUUCUCUCUUUUUCAUCAAUAGCCAAAGUUCAUCCAUUAUCACGUGUAUGUUGUUGUUGUUUUCUCCAAUUUCGUGUUUUGUUCAAUACAAUGGAAUGAAGGGUUAAUCGCCAUUGUUCAAACAUGCGAUAGGGUCGUAGACGCUUUUGACGAAGAAUUCUGCCUCUCUCUCUCUCUCUCUCCCUCUCUCUCUCUCUCUCUCUCUCUCUCUCUCUCUCUCUUCUCUGUGUCCAAAUGGACUUCCAUCGACGCAGUCUCAGGAGAUUAUGGAUUCGAAUCACGAGUUAAUUCAGGCUGAUUCAGCGAACCCGAUAUGCGGGUGGUAGUAUGUAUACUACUGUUUUCGUAAGAAUCUGAUCUCUUAUUAGUGGAUUAUAAAGGUUACAGUUACACGAAACGUUUCACGUUCGUGCUCGGCGUUUCUACCGUGAAAGAAAGAAAAAGAAAAAGAGAAAAAAAAAAGAAAAAAAAAAAAAGAAAGAAAGAAAGAAAAAUGAGGAAAGGUUUUGUCUGGGAGUCGUAUAUCAAUACUGGCUCGCUUUAUUAUUUCACAUGGAUUUUUCCAUUUACAUUUACAAUUAACGAAUAGUGCGGUAUAAUCAAAUUAUUUUGAUAGACGCAAGAGAAGAGAGCGGAGUUACGAGUCAAGGCCGGCUAUACAGGUUGCUCGGUCAUGAGAAUAGAAACAUGCGAAUGCCUGGUUCCAACAGACCUAUCCUGUAAAAAUGACUUCGUUCGAGAAAUUUUAAUGAUCGGAGCAACGAGAAGGACCGUAGAUCUUAAAAGAAAACUUUCUCGGAAUAAUUUUGACCGAGAAGAUCGAUGAACCUUUCCGUGACUGGUCGACACUGAAAACGACGUUGUUUGCACGUUAAAAUGCGAGACAGGUGGCAACGUACAUCCGACGAAUGGAGGCCAAACUUAAAUGUGGACAUUAUGAUGGACAGGAGAAUAUCUCGUUAGUAGCAGACCAAAGUAAACGAGAUUGUUUAUGACUCGUAAGAAUAAUAAAUGUAACAUGGAGGGUGUGGAACGAAGAUCAAAGAAAAUGACGAAAUAACUUCAUCACGACGAAAUAAACGACAACCAGAGCCUGGUACAACUGCAGAGAUAUUUCAAAGGACAACGAGUUUUGCAAUGUGAAAUAUACUGAGAAAAAAAGAAAGAAAAAAGAAGAAAGAGAAAUAAAGGGAUAAAGAAAAAAGAAGGAAAAUGUACAACAACAGACGGCGGCGGGGGUCUCCCUCGACAUGAUCAAAUAUUAACAAUAUGCAGCAGCUUCGCAUUGUAGUAAUGCGCGAAAGGUAAGAACAUGAACGCGAGAAUAUAAUGUC